UACGGGGGGGGCAAGCGUUGUUCGGAAUUACUGGGCGUAAAGUGUGCGCAGGCGGCUUCGCAAGUCGAGUGUGAAAUCCCCGAGCUUAACUUGGGAAUUGCGCUCGAAACUACGGAGCUGGAGUGUGGCAGAGGAAGGUGGAAUUCCACGUGUAGCGGUGAAAUGCGUAGAGAUGUGGAGGAACACCGAUGGCGAAGGCAGGUCUCUGGGCCACUACUGACGCUGAGAAGCGAAAGCAUGGGGAGCGAACAGG
rnacentral:rRNA from 1 species